GACGAACGCUGGCGGCGUGCUUAACACAUGCAAGUCGAACGGAAAGGCCCUGCUUGCAGGGUACUCGAGUGGCGAACGGGUGAGUAACACGUGGGUGAUCUGCCCUGCACUUCGGGAUAAGCCUGGGAAACUGGGUCUAAUACCGGAUAGGAGCCAUUUUUAGUGUGAUGGUUGGAAAGUUUUUUCGGUGUAGGAUGAGCUCGCGGCCUAUCAGCUUGUUGGUGGGGUAAUGGCCUACCAAGGCGGCGACGGGUAGCCGGCCUGAGAGGGUGGACGGCCACAUUGGGACUGAGAUACGGCCCAGGCUCCUACGAGAAGCAGCAGUGGAGAAUAUUGCACAAUGGGCGCAAGCCUGAUGCAGCGACGCCGCGUGGGGGAUGACGGCCUUCGGGUUGUAACCUCCUUUCGCUAGGGACGAAGCUUUUUGUGACGGUACCUAGAUAAGAAGCACCGGCUAACUACGUG
rnacentral:rRNA from 1 species